UCCAUCUUGGUCAAUGUGGCAGCCUGCGGCCUUCUAAGCUGUAGGUCACACGUUCGAAUCGUGUAGGGCGGGCCA
rnacentral:tRNA from 1 species